UACGGAGGGGGCUAGCGUUGUUCGGAAUUACUGGGCGUAAAGCGCGCGUAGGCGGUUCUGCAAGUCGGGGGUGAAAUCCCGAGGCUCAACCUCGGAACUGCCUUCGAUACUGCGGGUCUCGAGUCCGGGAGAGGUGAGUGGAAUUCCUAGUGUAGAGGUGAAAUUCGUAGAUAUUAGGAAGAACACCAGUGGCGAAGGCGGCUCACUGGCCCGGUACUGACGCUGAGGCGCGAAAGCGUGGGGAGCAAACAGG
rnacentral:rRNA from 1 species